CAAUUACAUUGUUGUGAGCCUGUCAUUCACUCUUUUUGGGUGAGAUCUCUGCUUGCCAUGGUAAGCAAGGCAGAGUUGGGUGAAGCCGACAAUUUUUAGGGCACCUUUUCUAGCCCCUUUCUCAUGCCAGGAGGUGAACAGUGCAGAGUGGUCUUUCAAAAAGUUUGCUCAGACACCCAGGGAGCUAUUGAAUCCCACUGCUUCUUCAGUCCAGUGAGAAGAUGACCUUAUGGCCUGCGCUAUCUAUGUGCAUGGUUGUGACUACAGCUCCCAGUGUAUCUGCAUGUGUGGCUUCAUCACUUGUCUGUCAUCUUUGAGAGUCAUGGAAGUCCAGUGGCAACACAAAAGUCAAGAUGACUGGUGAUGGCUCAGGAUGCAGUGGAUGACCUUGGCAUCUUUGGUGCCUGGCCAAGCUCUAAGGGCCCCAUGGUGCCUGUUUCAGCCACCAUCAUGGCUAUUGGACAAAUUGCUCUUAUCUGCCCAUUCCAGUGGGGGAAGUCUCUACAUGCUUGGGGUAGAUAUUCUCUUAACUCACCAAAGGAUUUGAGACCCCUCAGUUAUCCUCAACCUUGUUUAGCCCACCUGCCAAAACAGUUUCCUGGGGUGUGGCCACUGCACAUGCUACAGCUUCUUGGAGCCACAGGCAAAAGAAAAAUGGAGAAUUGAGGCAAAUAUCCAUAUGAUUCAAGCCAAGUAGAAGAGCAAGGAUUCAAGUGCAGGUCCCCUAAUUCCAAAUCCAUUGUUCAACCCAUCACCUUAUUCUUCUUCCAUAUGACAUGUUUCCCCGUUGUCCUUGUCUACUCCAAUAGAUACACUGACAAAUUAAAUGAUACAUUAAUUAAAAUCUAAAUCAUCUAUGUUAUUUAAACCAUGACUUAAAAAUAACUUUUUAAGCUUUUUCAUUAAAAUCUAUCACAUCUCUGAAAUGUUGAAAAAAGCAUCAUUUAAAAUACUUGUGAGGAGGGACCUCCUAAAUUGAGAAUUGGGAAUUCCCCACUACAGUGUCAAGAGAAAAUUAAAAUUGGUCAGAAAACGUGCAUAGGGAUUACUACAAACAAGCAGAGGGUAUUAGACUAUGAGAAACUUAUAGUUGAAUGGGGCCUUAGAGACAAAAUCUACCCUCUUAACCUACUCAGGAAUCCCCUCUGCAACAUUCCUUCCAGUGAUUGUGAAUUACUAUCUCAGAAAGCAGUGUAUUCCAUCAAUGGGUAGCUCUCAUUGUUAGGAAAUUGUUCACCAAUAUUGGUCCAAAAUAAUGUCUCACUGGAACUUCCAAACAUUAGUUCCAGUUUUGACCUCUGGAGUUGUGCAGAAUAUGACUAAUCUUUUUUCCUUCUGACAGGGCUCCAAAUAUUUAAAGACCAUUAUCAUGUGCCACAACUUCCAUUUCUCCUAAAUCUUUUCAGUCAGUCAAUAAGUAUUUAUUACUCACUAUGUUUCAGACACUGUGCUAAGUGCUGGGGAUACAAAGAAAGGCAAAAACAGUCUCUGCUUACAAGGAGUUCACAACUUAAUGAGUAAAAGACUAUGUACACAUAAGAUCUAUAUGUGUAAAUGGAAGGUAAUAUUAGGAAAAAAGGUUGGGGGUGGGGAAGGGAGACGGGAACCACGAAAAUUAAAUAAAUCCCCUUUUCAUAAUUCCCUAGAGUUAAAAUAAAAAUGAACACUAUUGAAGGAAUUUUAAUUUGGCCAGAGAAUGACCUAAAAUUUCAUGUUAUUCUUUCCAAAAUCAUUUCCAAAAUUGCACUAAAAAAAAAAUACCACCCACCACGACGACAAGAAAUGAGGUAUACUAUUUAAUUCUGGAUAGUACAAUGUGGCUUAAUGAAGCAAGAAGUGGAUUUCCAGAGAAGAGCUUUAAGUUUUGAAAAGAAGAAUACCUAUCUAGGGG